ensembl:lncRNA
UACACAGCCAGCUGUGGUGAUAUGAUGUCACUGCUGAGGAGUUUGCUGUUGAUCUACUUCUCAUUCAAUGAAUUGACCACAGCAGCAGAAGACAUUCUCUGGGUGAAGACAGGGAGAAGUUUACCAUGAAGUGCUCCACCACUCUAAAAGACCAGGAAGGAAUGUACCUGUAUGUUGGGCUGGACAGAGACAGGGAGGUGCUGUAUUACUACCAGCAUGACUCCAAGCUGACCCCCAGGAAACGCUACUGGGACAGAGUGAAGACUGAGGGACCUGUGGACCAACUGACCAUCACCGUCAGUAACCUGACCAUAGAGGACACAGGCGUCUACUGGUGUGUUUACACAAAAUUCAAUAAAGCCACAUAUGAAAAUGACAUCAACCAAGGAAGAGGCUCCACUCUGGUCGUGGUGAAUGCCAACAAGAAGCCGUGCCCAUCCGGCGUGGAAAGCAUCAUCAUCAUCAUCAUCAUCACCAGCAUCUUGACCACCCUGAUAUGUGCCGUCAUCUUCCUCGUCUGGUUCGCUCCACUGGUGAAGAGGUGCUGUAACCAGGGAGGAUACACACCACAGGUCUUUCCUGACUCGGUCUAUGAAGACAUGGCCCGGAAUCACAUUUAUCCAUCAGGCACACAGCAGUGUUUUUAGGUCACUGGACCCCUCAUCAAGCUGUUCCUGUGCAUGUUGUCUGCACACAAAGUCAAAAGAGCUUCGAUGUUAAAAUGAGAACAGUUUGUUAAGAUUUGUAUUAUAUUCUAUCAUAGGUACAAAUAUUUUAGCUGCCUAAACUUUCAGGUACAUUAGGAUAUAAGCCAUUUUUAUAAUUACAUUUGAUUAAUCUAUGGUUUUAGUUGAGAUAGCUAGUAGGUUAAACCAUAAUGGUCUGAGUACAUUGUUUUCAUGCUGGUACGGAGUAUUGAGUGCGUCUUGUGGUUGGAAAAACUAUUUUUAACCAAGUGACGUAGUAUUUGUUUUACACUAUGAGUCACUGUUUUUUUACUUAUUUUUCAACUUCCUAACAGCUAUUUUCACUUUAAAUAAAUGUAAAUGUGUUUUGUAUUUUUUUUAAAGGGAGAAAAAUAUUCUCACCAUUUUCCAUUUUAAUCUAAAUAUUGAUACAUCAUUGAUAGUCAUGUGAUAUUCCCCUUGUGUAUGUCAUGUUUGUGUAUGUCAUGUUUAUGUUGUAUUUGUGUAUGUGUAUCUGGCAUGCAUUGGUGAUGUUCAGCUAUAUUGCUGACAGUAUAUUGUAUGUUUGGAAAGCUUUCUAGUUAAAUCAAUCGAAGAAAAAUUCAGGCAGGAAACUGGAGUGUUUGUAUCUGCUGAUAUUGAACCAAUUAGAUUCACUCUACUGUAAUAUGGCGGUCUAUUUAGUUAACCAGGUUAUUACAUCAUUUCAUGAUGUCUGCUGCACGCAAGCUAUGCACUGGUGUUCUUGGUGACAUGCUAUGCUGUAACAUGCGGUACUCACCCUGCAUGCCUGCUUUCUGACCACCCACCCCAGACUCCACCUGUUUGGGCACUGCUUUUGUUUCAGUCAGGGAGAUUGGUAUAGCAUACCUGGCUCACUGUUUGUUAUGUUAUCAUUAUGCAUGCUCUGGCAGUGAGCUACCCCGAAGGAGCAGAGCCUAACGCCAAGAGUAACAUAUUGACUGUAUUGUAGUCUUUUCUAAUAAAU